GGACUACAAGGGUUUCUAAUCCUGUUUGCUCCCCACGCUUUCGCGCCUCAGCGUCAGUCUCGGUCCAGAGCGCCGCCUUCGCCACCGGUGUUCUUCCCAAUAUCUACGAAUUUCACCUCUACACUGGGAAUUCCACGCUCCUCUCCCGAUCUCUAGUCCCGCCGUUUCGAGCGCCAUUCCCAGGUUGAGCCCGGGGCUUUCACACUCGACAAACAGAACCGCCUGCGCGCCCUUUACGCCCAGUAAAUCCGAACAACGCUCGCCCCCUUCGUAUUACCGCGGCUGCUGGCAC
rnacentral:rRNA from 1 species